CACGCCGAGUAUUUCUUACCUUUGUCACUCAUUUUCCGGACGAGGAAUCUUGAGUCUAAUUUUGACUUCGAAUCUUAAUCUGGAGCGUCGAAUCAUACCUUGCUCAAGCUCACGUCGGAAGCCGGAUUAUUAGAAAAUAUUGUUGAUUGUACCGAGAUCCAGGCACACCGUGAAGCAUGUCCAAGAAUGCAAUUGGAGAUUAAUCCGAAGAGCGGACAUAAGUGGGGGAAGAAGAGCAAGCAGCAACAAGUAGCAGAGCACCCCAGAGUAGAAAAGUUAAAGUCCAACAUCAUCAAGUUCGGAUUAAUUAGUAUUUAAACGACGAGAUGAUUCAUUGAUGCACUCAAAUUUUUUU